AAGGUGCUAUGGGCAGACUUCAUAAGCCCCAUGGAAGUCUGCUGUUGUUAAAAUAACUGUGAAAUCUAAACCAAAUAUUUGGCUCACUUAGUGCUUAAGGUAAUUGAUGCAGCUGAUACCAGGCCCUGCCAGUGUAUGAUGGCUUGGCAGAGUCAAGGGGGUAUGUUAAUGUAACCAAUCUGUUUCCAUUUCCACUUGAAUCUUCAGUUUAUUUUGAAUGUGAGGUUGGAUUAUAAGAUCUCCUGCCUCCUGUGUAUAUUUAAGCGAGAGUUUGAUGAAAGCAAUUCCCAGACUUCAGAGACAUCCUCCGGAAACAGCAGCCAAGAAGGGCCAAGUAAUGUACCAGGUGCUCUUGACUUUGAACACAUUGAAGAGCAAGCAGAAGGCAUCUUUGGAGGAAGGAAAGUAUAUUUUCAGUUACUGUUUCGUAGGUGGUUCUACAGUUGGGAAGGCUGCUCUUCCAGAGCUCUCAAAGGCCUUCUCUUUACUAUGUUAGUAAAUAUUUCAUCUCUGGGGUUAGGUUGUUUUGGUGCUAUCUUUGGAUCUCUUAGUAUUCAAGUCAGAGUUAUCUUUGUUUGCUUGAUUGGGAGGAGAGAGAGAGAGAGAGAGUGAGUGUGUCCCCUGCCUAGGACAGAAGUAAGUGUGUGUGUGUGUGUUUGUGUCUGUGUGUGUAUGUGUGUGUCCCACCUAGGACAGAAAGGAUUUAAGGAGAUUUCUCAACAUUACAAGAUUAUUUUUACAUAGUGAGGAAAUACAAUCAAAAGAAAGAAUAGAAAGAGAGAGCAGGCUCAAAACAGAGUGAAAUUAGUGAGAUCAUGUCCUUCUGCUGCUGCUGGGCUGCAGUUUUAUCCCUGAGCUCCUAAUGGGCUAUGCAACAAAUAAAGCAAAAUCUGUUCUUUCAUGAUUCUUGAUGCUGU
rnacentral:lncRNA from 1 species